rnacentral:tRNA from 1 species
UCCCUGGAGGAUUAGUGGUUAGGCCUCGGCACUCUCACAGCCAUGGCCUGGGUUCAAUUCUUGGCCAGGGAA